rnacentral:tRNA from 1 species
GGCCACUUGGCGGAGUGGCAACGCACCGGACUGCAAAUCCGGGCUACUUGGUUCGAUUCCAGGGGUGGCCUCCA